rnacentral:rRNA from 1 species
CCUACGGGUGGCUGCAGUGGGGAAUUUUGGACAAUGGGCGCAAGCCUGAUCCAGCCAUACCGCGUGCGGGAAGAAGGCCUUCGGGUUGUAAACCGCUUUUGUCAGGGAAGAAACGCUCCGGGUUAAUACCUCGGAGUAAUGACGGUACCUGAAGAAUAAGCACCGGCUAACUACGUGCCAGCAGCCGCGGUAAUACGUAGGGUGCAAGCGUUAAUCGGAAUUACUGGGCGUAAAUGGAAGACAGGCGGUAAAUCCCCGGGCUUAACCUGGGAACUGCAUUUGUGACUGCAUUGCUGGAGUGCGGCAGAGGGGGAUGGAAUUCCGCGUGUAGCAGUGAAAUGCGUAGAUAUGCGGAGGAACACCAAUGGCGAAGGCAAUCCCCUGGGCCUGCACUGACGCUCAUGCACGAAAGCGUGGGGAGCAAACAGGAUUAGAUACCCUUGUAGUC